GCCUGAUUUCGGUCGACGGUCGACCUUGGUUUAAGUGACCAAGCCUAGAUUAGGUUACAAGCCACAUACAGAGCUUUUCAGCUAGGAUCCAACUCAUGUUUUGGGCUUUGGCUUGCCUUAGGGUUUCCUCUUUGAAGAUCCUUAAGAGUCUAUAUUUCAAGUUUAAUUCUACCCAUAACGGUGACUUCCACUCUAAAGUUGGGUUCGUGGUUUGGCUUUUAGUUCUCCCAAACUAAACAUACAAAGUACAAUUUGGGAGUAUUGAUCCUUUGCUUGAUGUAGGGUUCAUAGUGUGACCAUGCUCAGUCUUGUUGGGUUCAACGUAGGCAUGUUUUUCUUGUCCACCUUGAGGUGAACCUCAAAUUUGGGAUUUGCUUGGAAUAAUUGGUUUACCUCAUUGAGCUUCAUUAGACAUUGCGGCUCAUAUCAUCCUCUUCAGUCUCAUGGUCAUGCUUAGUCUCGAUAAGUCAGUCAAUUGGUUGUCUUGUGACGACUGUUACGAACGGGUUUUACUUUUAUUCUCUUACUAACUCUCUUCACUUUUGUUUCAGUUCCUCAAAAGAUCAAAUAUUUCCUUACUAGCUUGACAUUUGCAAGAUUCGUAGAUAUGCAAGGACGUCGACUAUCUAUAUUUGAAUGCCUAACUCAAAAGAAGAAAGCCCCUAGAAAUGCUAUUGAGACAUCCAAGGUACCAUUGACGGUUAACAUCACCGACCUAACAGAGAACAAGAAUCCUCUUAUUUGAGCCCUGCAAAUUUUUGGCGAUUCGCUCAGCUACAUAAGAAGUUGAACAAUCAACUAGGAUUCACCCUUUUGUUCUCCCAGAGAACUACUCUGGAGUUGGAGACAAGGUUGAGCUACUUAACAAAAGUUUUGCACUACGGCAAGAACUCGGCCAACGUCGUUCUGAGGGGGAAAUUGGGGAUAAUGACCCUUUAGAAGCUAUCCACGAGCCCCACUACGAGUUGCAUAAUAUUUCAUUCGAGUUUUUGCAUCAACUAUGAGUAUGGCCAACCACAUCAACUUUCUCGAGCAGAACUAUGUUCCCAAGACAGAGCUAGCUCAGGCUCAAGAUAUUUUAGCUCGUGCUAAUCAACAAUUAGUUGAGGUUAGACACAAGCUGGAAUCUCGUCGGGCUGAAAUUAACACAUGCAAGGCUCAGUUGGAGGAGGCUGAAUCUCGCCUCAUUAAUCCCGAAUAUUUAGUUGAGGAGUUCGAGAAGACAAAAGCAUAUACUAAAAUGCAAGAUGAUAUAAUGGAAUGCGGGGUUAUUUGGUUGACUCGGUGACUAUCUCGACGCCAUCCUGAGAUAGAUUUUGGAUUCUUGUAUGAUGAGUUCAUUGCAAUGUGCAAUGACCCUAACGCGUUCGAUUAUGAUUCUGACGAUUCGAACGCAGGACCUUUUAGCGUUGGCAGUAAUGAAGAUCCAACCUAGAAUGACAUGGCGAUGGAUCGAGAUCAUCCAAGUAGGUGAGGCAUGGCGUGGCUUAGUUUUUUGUUUUUGUUUUCUUGGCUUAGUUUUUUGUUUUUGUUUUCUUGGCUCAUUUGCGCUG